UUAACAUGUUUUUGUUUAAGACAUAAUUCCUUUAAUUAAUUAUCCAACAACUUUGAUUAACUCGAAACUUGUUUGAAUGGCAAUUCUGAGUUGUGGGGAAUAAAGGGUUUGUUUUUCUUUUCUUUUUUUCUCUAUCUUUUUGUAGGAUUUACUUUUCUUUUCCUUUUUCCUUUUUUGUUUUGAGUCCAGCUAUGGCUUCUCUUUAGACCCUUUGAGGGGAAGGAACAAAAACAAGGCUUUUGAAAGAGUAUGAAGCUUGUUUGUGAAAAUUUCCCAAGUUGGUGUCUUUUAGUUUUUUUCCUUGAAAAAAGAAAAUUUGAAAUGUCGGUUCCUAGGAUUUACAGGUUAGGCUUGGCGUGAAAAUUUUGGCUGUUUGCGAAGUUUCUUUUGAACCCGUGUUACUCUCUUGUCUUUGCUUGAAACUGACACAGGUUUUGGAAAACAAGAAAUUCUCUAAAAUGUGUCAAAUAGGAUCCACAGGCCCCUGAGUGACUGUUUGGCUGAUAUUUGUUAAAGUUUUUUUUGGGGUUUUCUUCCUUUGUUUUAUUGUGUGGUCAAGGAAGAGUUUUGAGGGUGUACAGUUUUGAAAUAUUAAAAAAUAAUAAGCAAAGUGAAGUGGGUUUUUGGUUGGGUUGAGUGUGGUUGAACAGGUGAAGUGUGAAAUGCAAGUGAAAGUCCAUAUUCUGAAUUUGAUUUAAGUUUACUUUGAGAAGUUAAGUUAUAUUCUGGGGAGCAUUCUUUUAGGGAUUUUGGCUUGGAAUUUCUUCAUUUUGAAGUCAUAAUUAUUAAUUCUUAAAUUGGUCUUUGUGAAUAGUUUAAAACUCUCAAGUGCUCUCCUCCACCAGGCAAUUUCUGCUCUAAAUAUAUCUUCACCUACCUAUUGAGGAGUUUUAGAAGAAAGAGAUGCUGUUUUUGCAAGGCAUCACCAGUUGAGCAGGAUUCUGUUCAGUCUUCUCUCUCAAGGGAGCUUCCUCCAUGUGAGCUUCAGUGACUGAUGGUUACAAGCUACAACUAUUUUGAAUUGAUGUUAUCUCAGCAACUGAUGCUGAUUUUCUAGUGUCCUUGAAUGCUCAGUGCUUUUCCCUUAGUGUUGGUUCUAUAUAUACUUCCCAUGGCUAAAGGAUUCAAGUAUCACGCAUUCGUGGUUCUUGGCAUAAUUUUGCUCUUAAUCGAUCAAUCAGAGCAACUACAAUCCUCCCAGACUCAUACCCUUUUAAGACUUCAGCUGCUUUUGAAUUAUCCUGAUGUUUUAAGUAGCUGGAAUAAUUCGGUCGACUUCUGCAAUGCCGAACCUACCUCCCAAGUAACCGUUGUAUGCUACGAAGAAAGCAUAACUCAGUUGCAUGUAAUUGGAAAUGAUGGAACUCCUUCGUUACCUAGUAACUUUUCCAUGGAUUCCUUUGUCACAACACUUGUUAAGCUUCCUGAUUUGAGAGUCCUUACAUUGGUCUCUCUAGGUUUAUGGGGGCCGUUGCCUGGUAAAAUUGCGCGUUUGUCAUCAUUAGAAAUACUUAAUAUGACUUCGAAUUUACUAUAUGGAACCAUCCCUCAUGAGCUUUCCGAUGUAACUACGCUCCAGACACUCAUACUUGAUGAUAACAUGUUCUCAGGUUGGCUACCUGAAUGGCUAGGUUCGUUUCCGGUUUUGGCUGUUCUGAGUUUGAGGAAUAAUUCAUUCAAUGGCUCUUUGCCUGAUUCUUUUAGCAUUUUGGAGAAUCUCAGAGUCCUUGCUCUUUCACAUAAUCACUUCCAAGGGGAACUGCCUGAUCUUAGCAGUUUGACAAAUCUUCAAGAGCUUGAUCUCGAAGAUAAUGCUUUUGGACCUCAGUUUCCUCGGCUUGGCAACAAGUUGAUUCGCCUUGUACUGGGAAAGAACAGGUUCAGAUCUGCCAUUCCUACUGAACUGAACUCAUUUUACGAACUUCAAUGGCUGGACCUGUCAUUCAAUCGAUUUGUUGGGCCAUUUCCUUCGUCAUUGUUAUCCCUACCUUCCAUUACCUACUUGAAUAUUGCAGACAACAAACUCACCGGGAUGCUAUUUGAGAAUACUAGUUGCAAUGUGGAACUCAAGUUUGCGGAUUUGUCCUCGAACCUUUUGACUGGACUCUUGCCCAGUUGUCUUUCAGAUUCUAAGGACAGAGUUUUCCUGUAUGCACAGAAUUGCCUCGCAACCGGAAAAGAAAACCAACAUCCACUUCCCUUCUGUCGAAAUGAAGCCUUAGCUGUGGGAAUCUUACCUCAUAGUAAGAAGUCCAAACCUUCAAAAUUUGCUCUUGCAUUCGGCAUAACUGGAGGAAUCAUUGGUGGAAUAGUGCUUCUGGGUCUCAUUUUCAUAUUUGUUAGGAGAUUGAAUGCAUAUAAGACAAUCAAUAAACCUACUACAAGAUUGAUUUCCGAGAAAGCAUCAAUUGCAUACACAUCCAAGUUAUUAUCCGAUGCAAGGUACAUAUCUCAAACAAUGAAGCUGGGAGCACUCGGACUUCCACCUUAUCGAACCUUUGCACUAGAAGAACUCGAGGAUGCUACGAAUAACUUCGACACAACUGCUUUCAUGGGUGAAGGUUCUCAAGGGCAGAUGUAUAGGGGUCGUCUGAAAGAUGGCACCUUUGUGGCCAUUAGAUGCCUGAAAAUGAAGAAAAGCCAUAGCACUCAAAGCUUUAUGCACCAUAUAGAGCUGAUUUCAAAAUUAAGAUAUCGACAUUUAGUCAGUGCUCUUGGUCACUGCUUUGAGUGCUACUUGGAUGACUCGAGUGUCAGCCGGAUAUUUCUCAUCUUCGAAUACGUGCCAAAUGGCACUCUAAGGAGCUGGAUAUCUGAAGGACAUGCCGGACGAUCACUGACAUGGCCGCAACGCAUAUCUGCUGCAAUAGGGAUCACAAAGGGCAUCCAAUUUUUGCAUACGGGGAUCAUGCCCGGCGUGUACUCAAAUAAUCUGAAAAUAACCGAUGUUUUGAUGGACCAGAGUCUUGUAGCUAAGAUUAGUAGUUACAACCUGCCCUUAUUAGCAGAGAGUGCAGGAAAGGUAGAUCACAGGACUUCUGCUCUACCAAAAGACUCGAGUAGCAGAACAAGGGCAAGUUAUGAAGAUAAGGCUGAUGUCUAUGAUUUCGGAGUGAUUUUACUAGAAAUGAUUCUAGGGAGGCCAUCAAAAGCCAAGAGUGAAGUCGAAAUCCUUAAAAAUCAGAUGAAGUAGAGUUCACAUUGAUUGAUGCAAAAUCAUGAAUAACACGUGCUUAGUAGACGAUCUAUUCAAAAACUACAAAGCGGCCGGAAAAUAAUUGUGAUAGGUUCUUCCUAGCAUCAGUUAGAAAGAAUGCUGAGUUAUCUUCCCAGACUGUACAGACUGAUGAACGCAUCCUUAGCUCAUUAUUCUUUAAUCCUGUGCAGUUACUAGCAGUUGUAGCAACCGAUGACGCAACUAGAAGAAGCAUAGCUGAUCCAGCAGUUCAGACAUCUUGCUCGGAUCAGUCAUUAAAAACAAUGAUGGAAAUUUGUGUCCGAUGUCUGCUAAAGGACCCUGCAGAGAGACCUUCUGUUGAGGACGUGAUGUGGAACUUGCAAUUUGCUGCUGUUCAGGACGCAUGGCGUGGAGAUUCCCGGAGCAGUUCUCCUGGCGGCUCUCCUUCCCAACCUGCAAACCUCCCUGUUGCCUUCCAUUAGUGAUAACUUUCAGGAUAUGGCAACACAAGAGGAACCCUUGGUUUGUUUGGGAGGAUAGAGAAGACAAAGGGUUGGAAAAGCGUUUAAUCUGAUGGUUUCGUAUAAAAUACGAAGUUUCAGAACUUAACCAUUGGACCAAAGUAAUUUUACUUUGUUUUAUUUCUAUCUUCUUUACCAAGCAAAGUCUCGGAAAGUUUAAGCACUCUAUUCUCUUCAUGUGAGAAUCAAAAUAAUGUAUAGUUUCUUACAAAGCUGUAAAUUUUGAACCAAAAUGUCUAUGCUUGUUUUCCUCGUGUCCAGCUCGGAUAUAAGUACAAGAGUAUGAUCUUUCAUAUAUAUAUAUAUAUAAUGAAGACAUUGAUUUCAA